UACGUAGGGGGCAAGCGUUAUCCGGAUUUACUGGGUGUAAAGGGAGCGUAGACGGAUGGACAAGUCUGAUGUGAAAGGCUGGGGCUCAACCCCAGGACUGCAUUGGAAACUGCCCGUCUUGAGUGCCGGAGAGGUAAGCGGAAUUCCUAGUGUAGCGGUGAAAUGCGUAGAUAUUAGGAGGAACACCAGUGGCGAAGGCGGCUUACUGGACGGUAACUGACGUUGAGGCUCGAAAGCGUGGGGAGCAAACAGG
rnacentral:rRNA from 1 species